rnacentral:rRNA from 1 species
UGCCAGCCGCCGCGGUAAUACGGAGGGUCCAAGCGUUAAUCGGAAUUACUGGGCGUAAAGCGCGCGUAGGUGGUUUGUUAAGUGGAAUGUGAAAGCCCUGGGCUCAACCUAGGAACUGCAUCCCAAACUGACAGACUAGAGUACAAUAGAGGGGUGUGGAAUUUCCUGUGUAGCGGUGAAAUGCGUAGAUAUAGGAAGGAACACCAGUGGCGAAGGCGACACCCUGGAUUGAUACUGACACUGAGGUGCGAAAGCGUGGGGAGCAAACAGGAUUAGAUA